UACGUAGGGGGCUAGCGUUGUCCGGAAUCAUUGGGCGUAAAGAGCGUGUAGGCGGCCUGACAGGUCUGCUGUGAAAACUCGAGGCUCAACCUCGAGAUGUCGGCGGAAACCGUCUGGCUAGAGUCCGGAAGAGGAGAGUGGAAUUCCUGGUGUAGCGGUGAAAUGCGCAGAUAUCAGGAAGAACACCUAUGGCGAAGGCAGCUCUCUGGGGACGGUACUGACGCUGAGACGCGAAAGCGUGGGGAGCGAACAGG
rnacentral:rRNA from 1 species